rnacentral:rRNA from 1 species
GAUCAUGGCUCAGAACGAACGCUGGCGGCGCGUCUUAAGCAUGCAAGUCGAGCGGCAAGAAGGUGCUUGCACCUUCCUAGAGCGGCGGACUGGUGAGUAACACGUAGGUGACGCACCCUCCGGACGGGGAUAGCCCUGUGGAAACACAGGGUAAUACCGGAUACGGUUCCGUAAGCUGGAGUUACGGAAGGAAAGGAGCCUCGGCUCCGCCGGAGGAGCGGCCUGCGGCCCAUCAGCUGGUUGGCGGGGUAACGGCCCACCAAGGCUACGACGGGUAUCCGGCCUGAGAGGGUGAGCGGGCACAUUGGGACUGAGAUACGGCCCAGACUCCUACGGGAGGCAGCAGCUAAGAAUAUUCCGCAAUGCGCGAAAGCGUGACGGAGCGACGCCGCGUGGACGAUUGAAGGCCGGAAGGUUGCAGAGUCCUUUGGCGCCCGAGGAAAGAACGCGGCAGGGAAUGGCCGCGGAUUGACUGUAGGGCGAGAACAAGCACCGGCUAAUUACGUGCCAGCCGCUGC